UACGGAAGGCAGCAGUGGGGAAUAUUGCACAAUGGGCGAAAGCCUGAUGCAGCUAUGCCGCGUGUAUGAAGAAGGCCUUAGGGUUGUAAAGUACUUUUCAUCGGGGAGGAAAAAACAAAACUAAUAAUUUUAUUUCUUGACGUUACCCGAAAAAGAAGCACCGGCUAACUCCGUGCCAGCAGCCGCGGUAAUACGGAGGGUGCUAGCGUUAAUCAGAAUUACUGGGCGUAAAGAGCACGUAGGUGGUUUUUUUAAGUCAGAUGUGAAAUCCCUGGGCUUAACCUGGAACUGCAUUUUGAAACUGAAAUACUAGAGUAUCGUAGAGGGAGGUAGAAUUCUAGGUGUAGCGGUGAAAUGCGUAGAUAUCUGGAGGAAUACCUGUGGCGAAAGCGGCCUCCUAAACGAAUACUGACACUGAGGUGCGAAAGCGUGGGGAGCAAACAGGGAUUAGAUACC
rnacentral:rRNA from 1 species